ACGGAAGGGGCAAGCGUUGUUCGGAAUCAUUGGGCGUAAAGGGCGCGUAGGUGGUCGUGUAUGUCUCUCGUGAAAGCCCACGGCUCAACCGUGGAGGGUCAUUGGAAACUGGGGAACUUGAGUGCAGAAGAGAAAAGCGGAAUUCCACGUGUAGCGGUGAAAUGCGUAGAGAUGUGGAGGAACACCAGUGGCGAAGGCGGCUUUUUGGUCUGUAACUGACGCUGAGGCGCGAAAGCGUGGGGAGCAAACAGGA
rnacentral:rRNA from 1 species